rnacentral:rRNA from 1 species
UACGUAGGGUGCAAGCGUUGUCCGGAAUUAUUGGGCGUAAAGAGCUCGUAGGCGGUCUGUCGCGUCUGCUGUGAAAACCUGGGGGCUUAACCCCCGGGCCUGCAGUGGGUACGGGCAGACUAGAGUGUGGUAGGGGGAGACUGGAAUUCCUGGUGUAGCGGUGAAAUGCGCAGAUAUCAGGAGGAACACCGGUGCGAAGGCGGGUCUCUGGGCCAUAACUGACGCUGAGGAGCGAAAGCGUGGGGGAGCGAACAGG